rnacentral:lncRNA from 1 species
GCAGGGCGUCCAGCGGAGAAGGCAGAGGAGGGGAGAUGCGGGCUCCUCCAGGUAGCGCAGGAGCCCCUCCGGCUGCCGGAGCCCCGCGAGGGCGCGAGUGGAGGGCAGGAGCCCGGGCGGCGGAGGAGCGGAAGGGAUGCUGCGUUGCCUUGGAGUGUCAGGGUGGGGGAGGAAAGACCAAGGGACCCACGUCCUUCGCCCCCGCCGCGGAGUCCCGGGCCGGCGAGACUUCCGCAGCCUGCCCAGCGCCGGGGACCUAGGGCUUUGCAGGAGUCCGCCCGGGAGCUCUAUCAGAGCGGGCGUCCUCCCCGCCGCUCCAAAGGUGGCUUGGGGCAGGUGGGGCGUCCCGGAGGGAAUGGAGGGACCCUGCCUAGGGAAGUCUGGCACAUUCCUCCCCAAACACCGGCGUCUUCCCAUGGCAGGAGGGAUUUCGCUGCCUGUGGGGCUUCAGUGCUGAACCAGGCAGCCCUGAGCAGACCAGGACCGAGCUUCCCAAACCUGACCGGGAAGGAGCCCUGGUUGCAUCUGGGAUCCACGUGGUCGACAGAGAAUCAGCUCGCAGCUCACCACCCCAGUGACUUCAGGGCAGCCCACCUUCCCCUGGCGCUCCUCAAACGAGCCAGGGAGUGGCCCCUGCUCAGACUCCCCUCCUGCCUCCCGGACCCUGCAGGCCUACCCGCCCCAGUUGCCCUUUGCCCUCCUGCAGCCUUCUGGGGGUGCUACAUGUCUGAGGCCCGGUCUUCUGUCCUGCUCCUCCUGAUGGGGGGUCUGGGCACUCUCCCUAAUUCAUCGCGAAGACUCUGACACCCAAUGCCCGUCUUCAGGCCCCGGCAGAUGCAGAGAAGUGGGCUUCACACCCACAUCUGCCUGACCUCAGGUGCUGGCUCCUGCAGUCACAGCCCUGAGCCCCGGCCCCUCCAGGCUGUCUCCUGCUUGUCCAGGUCUUCUCUGAAAGAGGCCAAACAAGUUUUUAAAAGUUUAAGAAAAUCGAACAGAGGAGGAGAAAAAUAAAGCCACAAAUAUGGAAUCAUGGAAUAAUGAUUCCGUAAUAAUGGCCCACCAUAAUUGACGGGCCAAUCCCUUUAUCCAAGG